UAGCCUGAUAGCAAGAGAGGAUCUGGAAGAC
rnacentral:piRNA from 1 species